GAUGAACGCUGGCGGCGUGCCUAAUACAUGCAAGUCGAGCGAACGGACGAGAAGCUUGCUUCUCUGAUGUUAGCGGCGGACGGGUGAGUAACACGUGUAUAACCUACCUAUAAGACUGGGAUAACUUCGGGAAACCGGAGCUAAUACCGGAUAAUAUUUUGAACCGCAUGGUUCAAAAGUGAAAGACGGUCUUGCUGUCACUUAUAGAUGGAUCAGCGCUGCAUUAGCUAGUUGGUAAGGUAACGGCUUACCAAGGCAACGAUGCAUAGCCGACCUGAGAGGGUGAUCGGCGACACUGGAACUGAGACACGGUCCAGACGCCUACGGGAGGCAGCAGUAGGGAAUCUUCCGCAAUGGGCGAAAGCCUGACGGAGCAACGCCGCGUGAGUGAUGAAGGUCUUCGGAUCGUAAAACUCUGUUAUUAGGGAAGAACAUAUGUGUAAGUAACUGUGCACAGCUUGACGGUACCUAAUCAGAAAGCCACGGCUAACUACGUG
rnacentral:rRNA from 1 species